rnacentral:rRNA from 1 species
UAUCCCUACGGGAGGCAGCAGUGGGGAAUAUUGCACAAUGGGGGAAACCCUGAUGCAGCGACGCCGCGUGAGUGAAGAAGUAUUUCGGUAUGUAAAGCUCUAUCAGCAGGGAAGAAAAUGACGGUACCUGACUAAGAAGCCCCGGCUAACUACGUGCCAGCAGCCGCGGUAAUACGUAGGGGGCAAGCGUUAUCCGGAUUUACUGGGUGUAAAGGGAGCGUAGACGGCAUAGCAAGUCUGAAGUGAAAGCCCAAGGCUCAACCAUGGGACUGCUUUGGAAACUGUUAA